GCGGCCGGCCCCGCGCGCGCGGCAGCGACUCGCAGGCGCCAUGGCGGCCGCUCGCUGCAGCGACAUGGCGGAGCCCCAGCGGCGCCUUCCCGGGCAGGCGGCGCCCGCCGAGGAGGAGGAGGAGGCGGAGGUGGCGGCGGAGGUAGCGGCCGCCGCCGGUGGGGCCGGAUCCUCCUCGUCGUCGCCGCCGCCGCCGCCGCCUUCGUCCUCGGCCGCGGCGGAGCCGGAGCCGCUGCUGCUGCUGAACGGCGAGGCGGAGAGCAUGUCGGAGCCGAGCCCGGAGAGCGCCAGCCAGGCCGGGGACGGGGAGGACGAGGACGAGGAGGAGGAAGAGGAGGAGGAGGAGGAGGAGGGCGGCGAGGAGGAGGAGAGCAGCCUGGUGGGCAGCAGCAGCAGCAGCACGAGCAGCGGCUGCUGCAGCGACGAGACCCGCUCGCCGAGCCCCGGCGGCGGCAGCGAGGCCGACGCCAAGGAGGAGCCCAAGGGCCCCCGGGGCAGCCAGGAGGACGGGCCGGGCCGCGGCGGCGGCGGGGGCGGCAGCAGCUCCAGCAGCGUGUCCAGCGGCGGCGACGAGGGAUACGGCACCGGCCCCGGCACGGGCGGCGGCAGCAGCUGCGGCAGCGCCACGUCGGGCGGUCGGCGGGGCAGCCUGGAGAUGUCCUCGGACGGGGAGCCCCUGAGCCGCAUGGACUCGGAGGACAGCAUAAGCAGCACUAUCAUGGACGUAGACAGCACAAUUUCCAGUGGGCGUUCCACGCCGGUGAUGAUGAAUGGGCAGGGAGUUGCUGCCUCCUCUGCCAAGAGCAUUGCCUAUACCUGCUGCUGGGAUCACUGCCACGCCUGCUUCAGCUCCAGCCCGGACCUGGCCGAUCACAUUCGCUCCAUACACGUGGAUGGGCAGCGAGGAGGGGUGUUUGUUUGCUUGUGGAAAGGUUGCAAAGUAUAUAAUACACCUUCGACAAGUCAAAGUUGGUUGCAGAGGCAUAUGCUGACACACAGUGGGGACAAACCUUUCAAGUGUGUAGUUGGUGGGUGCAAUGCCAGCUUUGCAUCUCAGGGAGGACUUGCCCGUCAUGUGCCCACACACUUCAGCCAGCAGAACUCUUCUAAAGUUGCCAGCCAGCCAAAGGCCAAAGAGGAAUCUCCAUCUAAAGCUGGAAUGAAUAAACGAAGAAAAUUGAAGAACAAGAGAAGACGAUCACUACCAAGACCUCAUGACUUCUUUGAUGCACAAACACUGGAUGCUAUAAGACAUCGAGCCAUCUGCUUUAACCUCUCAGCACAUAUAGAAAGUUUAGGAAAAGGCCACAGUGUUGUAUUUCAUAGUACUGUAAUAGCUAAAAGAAAAGAAGAUUCUGGCAAAAUAAAACUCUUGCUUCAUUGGACACCAGAGGACAUUCUGCCUGAUGUGUGGGUAAAUGAAAGUGAGCGACAUCAGUUAAAAACUAAAGUAGUUCAUUUAUCAAAACUACCAAAAGAUACUGCCUUGCUUCUGGACCCAAACAUUUACAGAAAUUCUAGUAAAGGAAGUACAUACAGUGGAAUCCUGAAAGAUCACUUCUGUUAAGAUCACAUACUGGCCCUCAGAUUGGCUUCUAAUCCAUCUGGUUUCUAAUAAUUUCCUGAUUCUCCCCCCCACCCCUUUAUUACUGCUCUCCCAUGAUUGUCAGUACCCACAGUUCUGUGUGUACAGUUUUUAAAGAACGAUGCCCCAGAAGAGGUUGAAGAGGUAAAAACCAAGCAAGUGGGGACACCUGCAGUCUUAGUCACUGACAAUGGAUUUAGAAAUAAAGUUGCACAUUAGUCAAA